ACCAGUUCCCAUACAACCACCAAAGUUAAGCAAUGUCAAGCCUGGUCAGUACCUAGAUGGGUGACCAUUUGGAAAUACCAGGUGUGG